GUAAUGUGUAGAUUCUCCCUGCAUAAUGGUGUCCACUCCAACCUGGCAGCUAUUCAGAGGUUUCUAGGAAGCAUCUCAUCAUAUGGAGAUCCAAGCUGCAGUUUUGACCUAUGCUGCAGCUGCAGCAAUACUGAAUCUUCUAACCCAUUGUGCUGGCUGGGGAUAGCACCUGUGUCCUGGUGCUGCAGAGAUGCUGCCAAUCUCAUCACCCCAUGGUGGAAUUCAAAUAGCCAAGUUUUUGGUUUUUUUGUGUUUGUUUGUUUUUUCUGUCUCUUUUAGGACCACACCUGCAGCAUAAGGAGGUUCCCAGGCUAGGGUUCCAAUUGGAGCUGUAGCCACCAGGCCUGUGCCACAACCACAGCAAUGCCAGAUCUGAGCCACGUCUGCAACCUACACCAUAGCUCAUGGCCACACCAGAUCCUUAACCCAUUGAGUGAGGCCAGGGAUCUAACCCACAUCCUCUUGGAUGCUAGUUGGGUUUGCUAACCACUGAGCCAUGAAGGGACCUCCUCAAGUAGCCAGUUUUUAAUAAUGUUACUAAAACAUCCUAUAUCUUUUCUGAUUUUUGUGAAUCCUACCAGUUCCUAAUACAGUAGUGCUAAAAUUUCCAAAUUUGCUUGUACUUUUGUCUAUUUGUCCUUUAAAUUUUGCGGUUUUGCUUUUGUAUUUUAAAAUUCCGUUAUUAUGUGCACACAGAUUUAUUGUAUGGAAAUUUAUUGCUGGAAAUGUUUUUAGUGAUGAAGUACAACAUACUUUGUCUAAUGUUAUAGCAUUAAAAUAAGAAAACAACCAAAUUAAAAGUGGGUCAGACACUUGCACAGAUACUUCACAAAGAAGGUAUAUAAAUGACCAAUAAACACCUGAAAGAUCCUCA
rnacentral:lncRNA from 1 species